UUGAUUUUAUGCUUGCAUAAAUGAUUUUUGGAUUCGGAGCGAGUGGCGAACUGGUGAGUAACACGUGGGUAACCUGCCCCGAAGCGGGGGAUAACAUUUGGAAACAAGUGCUAAUACCGCAAAUUAGUUGGAACCGCAUGGUUCCAACUUGAAAGAUGGCUCUGCUAUCACUUUGGGAUGGACCCGCGCCGUAUUAGUUAGUUGGUGAGAUAAAAGCCCACCAAGACGAUGAUACGUAGCCGACCUGAGAGGGUAAUCGGCCACAUUGGGACUGAGACACGGCCCAGACUCCUACGGGAGGCAGCAGUAGGGAAUCUUCCACAAUGGACGAAAGUCUGAUGGAGCAACGCCGCGUGAGUGAUGAAGGUUUUCGGAUCGUAAAACUCUGUUGUUAAAGAAGAACAAGUGUUAGAGUAACUGUUAACACUUUGACGGUAUUUAACCAGAAAGCCACGGCUAACUACGUGCCAGCAGCCGCGGUAAUACGUAGGUGGCAAGCGUUGUCCGGAUUUAUUGGGCGUAAAGCGAGCGCAGGCGGUUUUGUAAGUCUGCUGUGAAAGCCCUCAGCUCAACUGAGGAAGUGCAGUGGAAACUACAAAACUUGAGUACAGAAGAGGAAAGUGGAACUCCAUGUGUAGCGGUGAAAUGCGUAGAUAUAUGGAAGAACACCAGUGGCGAAGGCGGCUUUCUGGUCUGUUACUGACGCUGAGGCUCGAAAGCAUGGGUAGCGAACAGGAUUAGAUACCCUGGUAGUCCAUGCCGUAAACGAUGAAUACUAGGUGUUGGAGGGUUUCCGCCCUUCAGUGCCGCAGCUAACGCAUUAAGUAUUCCGCCUGGGGAGUACGACCGCAAGGUUGAAACUCAAAGGAAUUGACGGGGGCCCGCACAAGUGGUGGACAAUGUGGUUUAAUUCGAUGCUACGCGAAGAACCUUACCAGCUCUUGACAUCUUCUGCCAACCCAAGAGAUUGGGCGUUCCCUUCGGGGACAGAAUGACAGGUGGUGCAUGGUUGUCGUCAGCUCGUGUCGUGAGAUGUUGGGUUAAGUCCCGCAACGAGCGCAACCCUUAUUAUUAGUUGCCAGCAUUUAGUUGGGCACUCUAGUGAGACUGCCGGUGAUAAACCGGAGGAAGGUGGGGACGACGUCAAAUCAUCAUGCCCCUUAUGAGCUGGGCUACACACGUGCUACAAUGGAUGGUACAACGAGUCGCGAAACCGCGAGGUCAAGCUAAUCUCUUAAAGCCAUUCUCAGUUCGGAUUGCAGGCUGCAACUCGCCUGCAUGAAGUUGGAAUCACUGUAAUCGUGGAUCAGCAUGCCACGGUGAAUACGUUCCCGGGCCUUGUACACACCGCCCGUCACACCAUGAGAGUUUGUAACACCCAAAGA
rnacentral:rRNA from 1 species